ensembl:lncRNA
GCCCAGAGAGAGAGAAAGAAAGAGAGUGAGCGUAUGUGUGGGCCGGCUAAAUAUAGAAAUAAAUAAAUCAAUGAUAACCCUGCUGUGUGUGCAACGCUUGCUUGCUUUGUUAUGCUCAACGCUAUUUUGCUGGGUCUGAUGAUUGUGGGUGCGGUAGCAGACGGAUAAUUGCAUUGACCACAGCGGACGGGAAUAGUAGACACCUGAUGCCCCUCACUAGUAAGUUUGUAAUUCCAGCAAGAGAAACACAAAGUUCCAGGGCCAGAGGAGGAGCCAGAUGCAGACACGCCCG